rnacentral:lncRNA from 1 species
AAAGAUUAAUCUUGUAUUUAGGCACAGCUUUUGAGGCUUUGGUAGGAAAACCAUGCGUUAGGGAAUAUCCUGACCUAAACACCUUGAUCUUUGGUUCAUGACCCUAUCAGAGCCAGACAAGGGCUCCCGGACAAUGAAUUAAACUGUGUUGAUUCCUCCGCCCACAGACACUCAAAGCUUACUCUCUCCACUGUUACAUAAGAGUCUCUGGAAUCCUAGGAUGGUGUUUGUAAAUACUGCUGCCACGUGCACGGUACCCACGUGUCAAAUGUUGAUGUGACCGCGUGUAACUGGAAGGAGAGAAAGCGUCUACAAUUUCCAAAGAGAAGCCUACUAUUUUUUGGCCCUAAAAAUGAGCAUACAGAUGUCAAGGAAUUAUCACUAACUAAGGGUGAUUUAUUUGUCUUUUCUUUCUUUUUUUUUUUCCAAAAAAGAGGAAGAACUGUAAUAUUUUUUUCCUGUUGCAUUUCUUGUAAUCUAAAUUAACUGCUCUACCUAAUUCAAUUUAGGAUCAGUUUUACAAUUUCAGCAAUGCAUUCUGAAUGCACUUUCUACUUCCUCUAUUUGCAGGACUUAUUCCUGCUUGCUUAUUUACUUCAGUGUAAACU